CCUACGGGUGGCAGCAGUGAGGAAUAUUGGUCAAUGGGCUCACGCCUGAACCAGCCAAGUCGCGUGAGGGAAGACUGCCCUAUGGGUUGUAAACCUCUUUUGUCAGGGAGCAACGCCGGCUACGUGUAGCCGGCAUGAGAGUACCUGAAGAAAAAGCAUCGGCUAACUCCGUGCCAGCAGCCGCGGUAAUACGGAGGAUGCGAGCGUUAUCCGGAUUUAUUGGGUUUAAAGGGUGCGUAGGCGGAAUGCCAAGUCAGCGGUAAAAUAGCGGGGCUCAACCUCGCUCCGCCGUUGAAACUGGUGUUCUUGAGUGAGCGAGAAGUAUGCGGAAUGCGUGGUGUAGCGGUGAAAUGCAUAGAUAUCACGCAGAACUCCGAUUGCGAAGGCAGCAUACCGGCGCCCAACUGACGCUGAAGCACGAAAGCGUGGGUAUCGAACAGGAUUAGAUACCCGAGUAGUC
rnacentral:rRNA from 1 species